rnacentral:rRNA from 1 species
UGAACGCUGGCGGCGUGCCUAAUACAUGCAAGUCGAGCGAACGGACGAGAAGCUUGCUUCUCUGAUGUUAGCGGCGGACGGGUGAGUAACACGUGGAUAACCUACCUAUAAGACUGGGAUAACUUCGGGAAACCGGAGCUAAUACCGGAUAAUAUUUUGAACCGCAUGGUUCAAAAGUGAAAGACGGUCUUGCUGUCACUUAUAGAUGGAUCCGCGCUGCAUUAGCUAGUUGGUAAGGUAACGGCUUACCAAGGCAACGAUGCAUAGCCGACCUGAGAGGGUGAUCGGCCACACUGGAACUGAGACACGGUCCAGACUCCUACGGGAGGCAGCAGUAGGGAAUCUUCCGCAAUGGGCGAAAGCCUGACGGAGCAACGCCGCGUGAGUGAUGAAGGUCUUCGGAUCGUAAAACUCUGUUAUUAGGGAAGAACAUAUGUGUAAGUAACUGUGCACAUCUUGACGGUACCUAAUCAGAAAGCCACGGCUAACUACGUGCCAGCAGCCGCGGUAAUACGUAGGUGGCAAGCGUUAUCCGGAAUUAUUGGGCGUAAAGCGCGCGUAGGCGGUUUUUUAAGUCUGAUGUGAAAGCCCACGGCUCAACCGUGGAGGGUCAUUGGAAACUGGAAAACUUGAGUGCAGAAGAGGAAAGUGGAAUUCCAUGUGUAGCGGUGAAAUGCGCAGAGAUAUGGAGGAACACCAGUGGCGAAGGCGACUUUCUGGUCUGUAACUGACGCUGAUGUGCGAAAGCGUGGGGAUCAAACAGGAUUAGAUACCCUGGUAGUCCACGCCGUAAACGAUGAGUGCUAAGUGUUAGGGGGUUUCCGCCCCUUAGUGCUGCAGCUAACGCAUUAAGCACUCCGCCUGGGGAGUACGACCGCAAGGUUGAAACUCAAAGGAAUUGACGGGGACCCGCACAAGCGGUGGAGCAUGUGGUUUAAUUCGAAGCAACGCGAAGAACCUUACCAAAUCUUGACAUCCUUUGACAACUCUAGAGAUAGAGCCUUCCCCUUCGGGGGGCAAAGUGACAGGUGGUGCAUGGUUGUCGUCAGCUCGUGUCGUGAGAUGUUGGGUUAAGUCCCGCAACGAGCGCAACCCUUAAGCUUAGUUGCCAUCAUUAAGUUGGGCACUCUAAGUUGACUGCCGGUGACAAACCGGAGGAAGGUGGGGAUGACGUCAAAUCAUCAUGCCCCUUAUGAUUUGGGCUACACACGUGCUACAAUGGACAAUACAAAGGGCAGCGAAACCGCGAGGUCAAGCAAAUCCCAUAAAGUUGUUCUCAGUUCGGAUUGUAGUCUGCAACUCGACUACAUGAAGCUGGAAUCGCUAGUAAUCGUAGAUCAGCAUGCUACGGUGAAUACGUUCCCGGGUCU